rnacentral:rRNA from 1 species
UGGGGAAUAUUGCACAAUGGGCGGAAGCCUGAUGCAGCGACGCCGCGUGAGGGAUGACGGCCUUCGGGUUGUAAACCUCUUUCACCACCGACGAAGGGGUAACUUGACGGUAGGUGGGGAAGAAGCACCGGCUAACUACGUGCCAGCAGCCGCGGUAAUACGUAGGGUGCGAGCGUUGUCCGGAAUUAUUGGGCGUAAAGAGCUCGUAGGCGGUUUGUCGCGUCGUUCGUGAAAACUGGAGGCUUAACCUUCAGCUUGCGGUCGAUACGGGCAGACUUGAGUUCGGUAGGGGAGACUGGAAUUCCUGGUGUAGCGGUGAAAUGCGCAGAUAUCAGGAGGAACACCGGUGGCGAAGGCGGGUCUCUGGGCCGAUACUGACGCUGAGGAGCGAAAGCGUGGGGAGCGAACAGGAUUAGAUACCCCCGUAGUCC